rnacentral:snRNA from 1 species
GUGCCUUAAACUAAUGAGUAAGGAAAAUAACGCUAUCUAGUGGAAUAACUAGAAUAGCACUUAAUUACUCGAAUUUUUGAAUCGGGGCGACAGGUUACCCGCUUGAGUAGAUUCCACUACUUUUCGGAAUCCGCUCGUGUUGAAGCGACCUAGCCC